rnacentral:rRNA from 1 species
GGCUGUCUUAACAUGCAGUCGAACGGCAGCACGGGGCAACCUGGUGGCGAGUGGCGAACGGGUGAGUAAUAUAUCGGAACGUACCCUGGAGUGGGGGAUAACGUAGCGAAAGUUACGCUAAUACCGCAUACGAUCUAAGGAUGAAAGCGGGGGACCGUAAGGCCUCGCGCGAUUGGAGCGGCUGAUAUCAGAUUAGGUUGUUGGUGAGGUAAAAGCUCACCAAGCCGACGAUCUGUAGCUGGUUUGAGAGAACGACCAGCCACACUGGGACUGAGACACGGCCCAGACUCCUACGGGAGGCAGCGGUGGGGAAUUUUGGACAAUGGGUGAAAGCCUGAUCCAGCCAUGCCGCGUGUGGGAACAAGGCCUCAAGGGCGUCAUCACUUUGGCCCCGAUCAAAUAGGUAUGCCCUAAUGGGGUGUCCCCCUGACGGCACCGCAAGAAUA